rnacentral:rRNA from 2 species
UACGGAGGGUGCGAGCGUUGUCCGGAAUCACUGGGCGUAAAGGGCGCGUAGGCGGUGGGGCAAGCGUGCGGUGAAAGCCUGGGGCUCAACCCCGGGUCGGCCGUGCGGACUGCCCGACUCGAGCACUGUAGGGGCAGGCGGAAUUCCGGGUGUAGCGGUGGAAUGCGUAGAGAUCCGGAAGAACACCGGUGGCGAAGGCGGCCUGCUGGGCAGUGGCUGACGCUGAGGCGCGACAGCGUGGGGAGCAAACAGG